rnacentral:rRNA from 1 species
CAGCCGCCGCGGUAAAACGGAGGGAGCUAGCGUUGUUCGGAAUCACUGGGCGUAAAGCGCACGUAGGCGGCUAUUCAAGUCAGAGGUGAAAUCCCGGGGCUUAACCUCGGAACUGCCUUUGAAACUAGGUAGCUAGAAUCUUGGAGAGGCGAGUGGAAUUCCGAGUGUAGAGGUGAAAUUCGUAGAUAUUCGGAAGAACACCAGUGGCGAAGGCGACUCGCUGGACAAGUAUUGACGCUGAGGUGCGAAAGCGUGGGGAGCAAACAGGAUUAGAUACCCCUGUAGUCCCUGUCUCUUAUAC